GACGAACCGUGCGAACGUUGUUCGGAAUCACUGGGCUUAAAGGGCGCGUAGGCGGCUUGCCAAGUCAGGGGUGAAAUCCAGCAGCUUAACUGUUGAAGUGCCUUUGAUACUGGCGAGCUUGAGGGAGGUAGGGGUAUGCGGAACUUCUGGUGGAGCGGUGAAAUGCGUUGAUAUCAGAAGGAACGCCGGUGGCGAAAGCGGCGUACUGGACCUCUUCUGACGCUGAGGCGCGAAAGCUAGGGGAGCAAACGGG
rnacentral:rRNA from 1 species